UACGUAGGGUGCGAGCGUUAAUCGGAAUUACUGGGCGUAAAGGGUGCGCAGGCGGCUCCGCAUGUCGGGCGUGAAAUCCCCGGGCUUAACCUGGGAAUGGCGUCCGAAACUAUGGGGCUGGAGUGUGGCAGAGGGAGGUGGAAUUCCACGUGUAGCGGUGAAAUGCGUAGAGAUGUGGAGGAACACCGAUGGCGAAGGCAGCCUCCUGGGCCAACACUGACGCUCAUGCACGAAAGCGUGGGGAGCAAACAGG
rnacentral:rRNA from 1 species